GUUGCAUUGUGGGAGUUUUACUGGCUCGAGGCGAAAGUUUACAGGCUAGAGAGCGGGAUCAACAAUGAUUUUCACUAGUAAAAACAAGAUCAAGGGCACAAGCGGAUUCAGCAGCUACGUUGGCCUUUUGGGUACCUAGAGUAAUUUUUCAUAGGCGAUUCAUAGGCCUCAACCCAGAAAGCGGAACAAAAGCUGCAAACGGAAAAGUGACAUCAACCAACAGGACGACUUAUGGAAAACACUAGGACAACAGUGAACCCCCCAUCUCUCCAUUUGCUUUCUUCAUGGACUACCAGUGGAACUUUUAAAAUGAUAAAAUUACACAUUACUCACAAUAAGUUAUCUUACUCCAUCUCUCUCCCUGUCUGUCUUUUUUUCUGCCUGUCUCUGUCUGUUUUGUCCAUUUCUAAUAGACAGACAAGAGGACAGCGACAAUGAAGGAAGCAACCCUUUGAUGAUUUCUGGAAAAGUUCAGGACUGAGACCAACUCAGAACUCAUCCGUGUUGGUUUUAUUUGGCUGUUCACUAAGUCUUAAACUUGCCCAAAUGUUUAAGAUGUACCGUUGGGGUUCCAGUAAAGUUUUGAAAAAUAUGUAACUUCAAUAUUUGACAUUGCUGAAUCCCUUCCUUCCUUUGAAGGAAGAAAGCGACAGACAUGUAGAAUUUUGACUGCAAGUUUUAAAGCAAAAGUCGGGAAAACAUUGUUUUACCAGUUUCAAAGUCAUGAAACUGCAUUUUAUGAUUUGGAAAUGCAGUUUCCAUGAAAACUUUGAUGUUUGGUCAUGUUGGUUUUAGUAAAGAUUAUUUAAUUUAUUGUAUUCUAUGUAAUAUUGCCAUGAAGGUAAAUGUAUCAGUUAUCAGAGUAUUUUUCACUUUGAUUGCAAUACUUUGACUUCUGUGUAACAAG